rnacentral:lncRNA from 1 species
GUUUACUUUCACUACUCGGAAAAUCUGUUGCAGAUAUGUGGAGAUAGGAUUUGAGUCAGGCAUUCCAGUGACAGUGAACGGGAAGAGGCUAUCCCCAGGAAAUUUGGUUGCUGAGCUUAAUGAGAUAGGUGGAAGGCAUGGAAUAGGCUGUGUCGAUAUAGUUGAAAACCACAUUGUAGGCCUGAAGAGCCGAGGAGUUUAUGAAACUCCAGGUGGCACCAUUUUCUUCACCGCAGCAAGAGACUUAGAGAGUUUAACACUCGAUCGUGAAACACUUCAGCUUAAAGACUCGUUAGCAAUUAAGUAUGCAGAGUUAGUGUAUGCUGGAAGGUGGUUCGAUCCUCUUCGUGAGUCAAUGGAUGCAUUCAUGGAAAAGAUCUCAGAGAUUACAACAGGUUCAGUGAGUUUGAAACUGUAUAAAGGCAGUGCUUCUGUGACGGGUCGGAAGAGUCCUUCUGUUAAUUAAAAAUCUUUGUUCAUUCAAAAAGGUUGAAGCAAAAAACUCAGAACUGACUCUGUCGCUGAUGUAGUGGGAGUAUCAAAUCCUGUGAUCCCCGUCAGCUGUUGUUCUGGACUUGAGAAGCAUACUGCAAGUUCCAAAGGACAUCCUCGAUCGAAGGUCGACUCCACGACUCGGUAGAUAUACACUUGUUUGUUAUAGAAAUCACAAUAGAUAGAGAUUCUUUGCAGCAAGUAGCUUGCACAACUGGGUCCACUAUUUGUUUCCACUCAUCUUGACUACUGAAGGAAGCCUGUAAAUUGGAGUAUGCUGAAUUAACUAUCUUAGCAGGUAUAUAUAAAGCACUUAUUUAAAUGUUUGGGAACUUAUAUUAAUAAGCUUAUCAAGAUAGCUUAUGAAAACAAUUUGUAUCUUGUAUACAACAAUUUUAACCACACUCUCCGUAUGAUUAUAGA